rnacentral:rRNA from 1 species
UGGGGAAUAUUGGACAAUGGGCGAAAGCCUGAUCCAGCCAUGCCGCGUGUGUGAAGAAGGUCUUCGGAUUGUAAAGCACUUUAAGUUGGGAGGAAGGGCAUUAACCUAAUACGUUAGUGUUUUGACGUUACCGACAGAAUAAGCACCGGCUAACUCUGUGCCAGCAGCCGCGGUAAUACAGAGGGUGCAAGCGUUAAUCGGAAUUACUGGGCGUAGAGCGCGCGUAGGUGGUUUGUUAAGUUGGAUGUGAAAUCCCCGGGCUCAACCUGGGAACUGCAUCCAAAACUGGCAAGCUAGAGUACGGUAGAGGGUGGUGGAAUUUCCUGUGUAGCGGUGAAAUGCGUAGAUAUAGGAAGGAACACCAGUGGCGAAGGCGACCACCUGGACUGAUACUGACACUGAGGUGCGAAAGCGUGGGGAGCAAACA